CAUGAGCGCUGGCGGCAGGCCUAACACAUGCAAGUCGAGCGGUAGCACAGAGAGCUUGCUCUCGGGUGACGAGCGGCGGACGGGUGANUAAUGUCUGGGAAACUGCCUGAUGGAGGGGGAUAACUACUGGAAACGGUAGCUAAUACCGCAUANNGUCGCAGGACCAAAGUGGGGGACCUUCCGGCCUCAUGCCAUCAGAUGUGCCUAGAUGGGAUUAGCUAGUAGGUGGGGUAACGGCUCACCUAAGCAACCAUCCCUAGCUGGUCUGAGAGGAUGACCACCCACACUGGAACUGAGACACGGUCCACACUCCUACGGGAGGCAGCAGUGGGNAAUAUUGCACAAUGGGCGCAAGCCUGAUGCAUCCAUGCCGCGUGUAUGAAGACUGCCUUCUGGUUGUAAAGUACUUUCAGCGGGGAGGAAGGCGAUAAGGUUAAUAACCUUGUCGAUUGACGUUGCCCGCAAAGAAGCACCGGCUAACUUCCUGCCAGCCGCCGCGGUAAUACGGAGGGUGCGAGUCGUUUAUCGUAA
rnacentral:rRNA from 1 species